AUCUUUGAAAAGGGAACAAGUUGAAAGGUUGUAUUUCUCAGCCAAUCUGGGCUUGUGCCAGUUUUCUUCAAAUCCGAUCAACAUGGGUGGAAGAGGCAUUUAUCAAUUACUCGGCUCCCAGAAAGGAAAGGCACCAUCUUUCCAACCCGAAAUCAAUAACAUCUUCAAAGAGCAUAACGUCAAUCGGUCGAACUUGCAGGCUGCUGCCUCCGUCGGCGUGCCCUUUGGAGCUCCAGCCGCAAAUUUUGAUGUCUGUCAACUUCCAAGUUCAUCACGUGCAGCAGCUAACUUUCCUCAAAUGUCUUCUGUCACUCAAAACCUGGUCAACUUUUCAGACCUGAUAUCUGGUCCUGUUGCUGCUCCUCUCAACUAUGGCUAUGCGUUCGAGAAUAUGG
rnacentral:lncRNA from 1 species